rnacentral:lncRNA from 1 species
UAUCUACCUCUUGUACUACACCUGUAUCUACCUCUUGUGCUACACCUGGUUGGUUGGUUAAAUAUGAUCAUUUAAAUUAGAAAAUGUAUACUCGUGCUACUGAAUACAUCUAAACUCGAGAAAAUGAAUAAUCGUGCAAAUGUAUACUCGUGCAAUCUGGGUGUUAUAACAUCAUAACCACAUCUACGGCCAACUCUAAGAUCACCUUAUUUUGUUUGGCAGUGUUCUGGAAUCAAGUUAUGGCAAUAUUUUAUGUAUAAAAUCUAAUAAUUACAUUAAA